CAAAGGAGAUGGCUGACCGUGCUCACAAGAUGUUGGCGGUGUUGGAGUCCAAGGUAUUGUGAAUCAACCCUGACUGCGAUCUGAAGAUCAAGAAGUAUGCCGAGGUUGUGCCAGCGUUGACAAACAUAGUGAACGCCGCCAAGCAACUGCAUGCCGAGCUGGCGAAUUAGGAGCUGAUUUUACGAUCAAGCUGGCUUCAUAUGUUUCGGCUGUGCUUGAUGUAGAAUCUCCCCGCACUUGUUCUCCCUUUACCUACGACAGGGAGCACCUGAAGUGGGACUCAUAACUUCAGAAAAGCAGGGUGUGUAUUGAUCAGGGCACCAGAGAACGUGGCUGAUAAACUACUUGGCAAGCUAACGAUGGAGGUUAUCGUGCAAGGACUCUACUGCUGCCGAAGUUUCCUGGAUUUUCUCUACGUUUUCCACUUGUGCUCUUCAUCGUGUUCUCGUAGCAGAUUUUUCUCUGCGUUGCACCCAUUGCUGUUGGUGUUUUCAGUUGAUGUGCACAGCGGCUGUGAAGCAAAUAAAGUGACUGAUUUCUGUUGACGAAAUUACCCCAGAACUUACUUACUGCCGUGAUGAUGGGUUCACGCAAGUUAACAGCUCCCAAGUUUGAGGUGGAGAAGUUUGAUGGCAACAUCAGUUUCAGUUUGUGGGCACGCAAGGUGACAAAUGUACUGAUUCAGCAAGGCCUUGAGAAGACCAUCAUUGGGAUUAAGCCAUCGGAUGUGAAGGACGUAGUGUGGGAUGACAUGUGUGUGCAGGCUUGCAGCACCAUUGAGCUGUUCUUGGCCAAUAACAUUCUCAAAAACAUCUUGGGCAUGGACAGGAAUUCGAAACUCAUCUAGGACAAGCUCAUUGCGCUCUAACAGGAUAUGUCUAUGACUUCCCGCAUCUAUCAGUUGGAGCGGCUCUUUCGGUUGAAACUAAAAGAAGGUGGUAACAUGCGCGAGCACUUGACCUCGUUUGAUGAGAUUGUGCACGAGGUUUGCAAACUAGGGAGAAGUUGAAUGAUGACCAUCUUGUUGAUAGCACUUCCAAAGUCUUAUGCUACCAUUGUCAUUGUCAUGACACAUGGUCAGACUAAGUUGAACUUGGAAGUAGUCAAGUCUACUCUCCUUGCAGAAUGGAGAAAAAGUGAGUCUUUCCAUGAAGAUGAUUCUGCAGUUUUGGCCGUUAGAAGGAGGCCAGCAGAACGCUCUACUCCACAUUCUAGAGGUUCUACUCCACAUCCUAGAAGGAAAUUUCAGCAUAGGUCUAAAUCUAGACCCUUUGUUCUUGAGUGCUGGCAUUGUCAUGAAAAAGGGCAUAGGAAGAGAGACUGCCCUUCUCUUAAGAAGAAGAAGCACUCUUCUUUUGCUGGUGCAUCUAUUUCUUCAAUUGACAUUGUGAUUGCUGAUUUUGAUGAUGGUGCCCAUGUGUUGUGUACAAGUGCUGUUGGUGAUAAUAAAUGGAUGUUGGAUUCAGUUCCUCUUAUCACGUGUGUCUAGAGCGUUCUUUCUUUCACACUUAUCAGGAGACAUCUGGCAGUGUUGAAGUUAGAAAUGGAGAGUGUUGUGACUUUGUUGGCAUGGGCAAUGUGAGAUUUCGGAUGUUUGAUGGAGUUGUGAGGACAUUGACUAAUGUUAGACACAUCCCUAUCAGAAGAAUCUCAUUUCCCUUGGUUCUUUAGAGAAAGAUGGAUGUCACUUUGUUGCACGUGAUGGGAAGUUUUUUGUGAUUAAAGUUUAAGUGACCUUAAUCAAAGGGCUGCGGCAGAACAACUUGUACAUCUUGUAAGGUAGGAACCUUGCUGAGGAGGUGGAUCAGGUAGAUGCUGUGGUGGAGCACUUAAGUGUUGAGGCUUGAACAUUUGGUUCCAGUGGACACAGCUCCACUUCACGGGAGACACCAGCCAUUGACUUGUGGCACUAGUGGCAAGGGUUUGACAGCUUUGGUCAACAAAUCCUUGUUGCAAGGCAUCAAGUCAAGCAAGCUUUCUUUUUGUGAAGAUUGUAUCUAUGGCAGGCAAAAGAAAGUAGAGGUGCAAUCUCUCAACCUCAACUGCAGCGCUCUACACGUGGGAACUUUGGUCAACCUCCAGAUAGAUUUGGUUUUGUAGAUCCUCGUAUUCAUUUGGUCGAGGACGAGGAUGAUCUUGGUGUGGUUCUACUCACGGAGGAUAGAGAUCCAUCUAGCUAUGCAGAAGCUAUGGCGUCUCCAGAUAGGGAUAAGUGGAUUGAGGCAAUGUUGAAGGAGUUGGGUUCUUUGAAGAAGAAUCAAACAUGGCGCCUGGUGAAGUUUCCCAAAGGCAAGAAGCUGGUUCAGUGUAGAUGGGUGUAUAAGAGGAAGCGCUUACAAGGCACGCCUUGUGGCCAAGAGGUAUACUCAAAAGAAGGAUAUGGACUACACAGUUUUUCUCUCUAGUUGUCAAGUUUGCCACUAUUUGUGCAUUACUUACAAUGGUUGCAAUACUUGAUAUUGAAUUAAAUCAAAUGGAUGUGAUUACUGCCUUUUUGCAUGGGUUGCUUGAUGUAGAGAUUUAUGUGGCACAACUAGAGGGGUUUGUGUUGAAAGAUAUACAAGACCUAGUAUGUCUUCUGUUGAGAUCAUUGUAUGUCCUCAUCAAAGUCCUAGACAGUGGAAUAAGAGAUUUGACUCCUUUAUGUUGUCAAAGGGGUUCACAGGGAGUGAACAUGACUGUUGCAUUUACAUGAAGAAGGUGGAGAACUUCAAGACUUUUGUUUUCAUUGUUUUGGCUCUAGGUAGAUGUCAUGCUGAUUGUUGCUGAGAAAAAAUCUGGCGUAGCACAUCUAAAAGCAAUGUUAAGGAGUUUUCAAUGAAGGACUUGGGUCAAGUCAAGAAGAUUUUAGGAAUGGAGAUUCAUCGUUACAGGGAGCAGAGGCAACUAUGGUUGUCACAGCGGCAGUAUAUGGAGAAAGUACUUGCCAAGUAUGGGAUGGAGAAGGCAAAACCAAUUAGUAUUCCAUUGGCUCCUCACUUUAAGCUUUCACAGCUUCAUUGCCCUUCUACUGAGAGUGAAUUCACACGAUGAAGUCUACUUCCUAUGACAAUAUGGUAGGUAGUUUGAUGUAUGUUAUGACAUGCACUAGACCUAACAUUGUCCACGCAAAUAGACUUUUGCGCAAAUAUAUGGCAAAUCUAGGCAAACCUCACUGGGAAGUAGUGAAGUGGGUUUUACGCUAUUUGAAAGGUACACCUGACUAUGAGAUUAUGUUUGAUGGGAACUUACCUUCGGAGAGCUUUCUCCAUUGUUUGGACUUGACUAAUAUUAAGACCAACUGGAUACUACGUAUAUGUUUUAUUUAUUUCAUAGUUGACUCUUUUUUGUUAGAACCUGAGUCAAGGUGGAGAUAGUUAGGAAUUAACUCAGUUCUCAGCUAUACAUUAGUUUGGCUUAAUCAAGGUUAGUUAACCAAUUUAAUUAGGUUUAGGAUUAAUCCCAUAUGUAGUUAGUUUUAGAUUUAGGAAAAAGGAGGUUGCUUUUCUCUCUCUCUCUCUCUUUCAUGUGUAUACUUUGCUCAUACUCAAAAUCCUGAAGAAGUUUUCUCCUGC